AAGCAAGCGAUUUCAUUUUUAUAAAUUUCGGGCGAAAAUGACUCUGUUUAAACUGGUUUUCUUAAUUACGCAGAUCUGUCUGAUAGUAUCGUCUGUCACGGCCGCUCGCUCGUUAAGAAAUAUUAUAGGAAGGCCGUGCACCGAAGAAGAUAGCGAAUUUCGCGAAGGAAACUACAACUGUUACUGUAGUGAAUACGGCAUAACGUUGCAUUGUGAACCGGAUUAUGACAUGAUGCUGCUCUAGUGAACUCACCCCAAAAAGCGUCUUAUCUCGGCAUCAUUAAAUUACAACAAGAGUCUUCAAAGGGCUUAUGGUCUUUUCUGAAGUAAAACUGUACAUUCUAGGUAGUAGACGAGCAUGAGCGCACAUAGAAAUAAAUCAUUUUAGUAUUUUGGUGCCAGCCUA